UUUCAGCAGAGCAGACCUACGAGCUGAUGCGAUGCCUGGAAGACUUGGCCUCCAGAAGGCCAGAGUGUGGUGAGCCCGACGCCCAGCGACUGCAGGUCAUUUCGAACUCCUGGGGAGAUGAUUCCGUGUUAAAGUGGGAAGACUUUCUGUCUCAAGACUUCUUCCACUAUCCUGUGAUCCUGAAACAUUACCCUCUCACAGAUUCAGGUCCCUUUUAGUUAUUAACCUGUUUUGAAACACCGACUUUUAGGAACCAGUCAUCUCACUUCAGAGCCAAACUUAGUAUACUAGACUGGUCUUAGUCUGGACCUGUGAUUGCUCUGUGCUCUCUGGAACGAUGCCUGUUGCCCCUCACACUGCUUUUCUUCCCUUUAGGAUGACGACAUAGAGACCACCAAGGUGGAGAUGCUGAGACUAGCUCUUGCCCGGAAUCUUGCUCGGGCAAUUAUAAGGGAAGGCUCACUGGAGGGUUCCUGAGAGAAGCUGAGGACAGCUGCAGUGUAGUAACUUUGUAUGGCAAUGUAAAUAGAUUUUAAAAUAAAUUGUUUUGCAAAUA
rnacentral:lncRNA from 1 species